CUUUUAAAAAAAGACUGUUAUUCCCCUUAACAGCUUUAAUUAGCAUAUGUGUGGCAAGGCUUUUAUAGCGAACCUGCCACCAUGAUAUCGCCGCCUUGGAUUCUGAAGUGUCUCCAGGUCCUGACAGACUGCGGACCCAAGGCUGAAAGAGAAUGGAGACGCCUGCCACUCUCGCCCAGCGCAACCAUACAGCACCAGUGCCCACAGAGUCACCUAGCAAUGGUCUUCGGAGGAGCUGCUCACCCCUCAGAAUAAGAGCUUGAUGGGAGAUGAUGCUUGAGGGUAGAGCCAAACAUCACCAAGAGCUUCUCUCAAGGAAUGAUCCCCAUGUCCCUGUAGCUUGGGAGUAGCCUGGACAUCUCAGCUAAUUGCUCCACUGCAAAAGAAGCUCUGAUGCUUGUCUGGCCUGUGCUCACAUUCAGUAGGUGUUGCAUGCAUGGACGAAUACAGUACGUCUCUAGUUCCUCUUUACCAGUCUCUUCCCAAGAAUAUCCCAAUUUGGUCCACUCUACUUUUGCUAUGCAUUCCAUAUUGAGCUUUCAGAAGAGCACACUUUCUCAGAAUUCCAGCUGGGGCUCAAUAAGAAGCAUGAUUGUUUUAGCAGACUCAUUGUGGAGUUACUACUGUACAGUGCAUAUAAUUUCCUUUAGCAAGCAGGUUGGGUACAAACAGCAUCAUUUUAUGGUCUCAUAGGCUUUGUGUAGAUACUGUUAGUGCUCUGACUGCUUUGAAAAGUUCCUGAGCUCCUUUUUCCCUCAGAGAAUCCCCCACCUCAACUUCUCUGCUGGUAGUCCUCAUACAAACCCCUGUCUCUUGUAUUGCCUCUGCAGCACAGGGGCACUACAAUAUUUUCAUUGAAUGCGAGUUCUGUUUUUUACUGUUCCAACACUGAAAUUCCAAAACAUAUUGACUGCAAAACUUACUUUACAUUAAAAGACAUACAGUACAGCUUAGGAUUUCCUUGCAAGUUUCAACAAUAAUGUCCACAUUUAACCCCCUGUACAGAAUUUAUAUGCAAUAUAUCUAAAUAUGUUUUAUCAACAUGCACAUACUGUACACUCAUACUGUAUAUACACUCACCAAUGGUUGUUCUUAAAGAUUCA